rnacentral:rRNA from 1 species
AUUGAACGCUGGCGGCAUGCCUUACACAUGCAAGUCGAACGGCAGCACGGGAGCAAUCCUGGUGGCGAGUGGCGAACGGGUGAGUAAUGUAUCGGAACGUACCUUUCAGUGGGGGAUGACGUAGCGAAAGUUACGCUAAUACCGCAUAUUCUGUGAGCAGGAAAGCAGGGGAUCGCAAGACCUUGCGCUGAUUGAGCGGCCGAUAUCAGAUUAGCUAGUUGGUGAGGUAAAGGCUCACCAAGGCGACGAUCUGUAGCGGGUCUGAGAGGAUGAUCCGCCACACUGGAACUGAGACACGGUCCAGACUCCUACGGGAGGCAGCAGUGGGGAAUUUUGGACAAUGGGCGCAAGCCUGAUCCAGCAAUGCCGCGUGCAGGAAGAAGGCCUCGGUUGUAAC